GCGAUUACAAAAAAAACGGUUAAAUGUACGUUUGUGUUGUUAAACUGGUCCUUUUUAUGGAAUUAAUAUAAAAUUGAUUAAUUAUUGUGAAUCCACUAAUGUAUAAGGAAACAACUGAAGUGAUGAUUGUGACGAGUCUCUGCUUUCAACCUUUUUUUUGGUAGCCAGUUUAACAUACUCACAAGGAUAAAUAAUAACAUUACAUUGUUUUUGUGAAUGUUUUUUUCUUCACCCAAGGAAGAAGGAGGAGAUUAUCCUGUAACUUGGAGAGGUGGAGAUUAUUAUUAUCAUCAGAUUAGAGGAGUUUGCGUCUCAAUCUUAGACAAUUUCAUGGAGCGGAGGGUUCACAAUGUACAGGUUUGGUGGUUUGAUGUUCAUUUAUCCGAUCAUAUGGGUUCAUUUUUGAAUAGCUUCUGGAAAACAGUUGACAAUGUUUGAUGUAAGCAAACGUUUUUGUUUACUAUUACCAAUUGACUGAUUAGUGGAGCUGUAAUUUGUAAAACAUUACUGUUUGUUUUAUUAAUUGGAUUUCUGGUUAUAAAGGUGAUUAGUAGAUGAGUCAGAUUGACCUUUAAAUAGGAGACUCAGGAAGGAGAAAUAAAAUGACAAUGGAAUAAAAGAACAGGAUUAAAAUUGUUGAAGAAGACGAAGAAGAUACAUUUAAAAUGAGAGAUGAAAAAUGGUGAUGACAGGAGCCAAAGGAACGAGAAGAUGAAAACAAAGAAGAAGAAGACAGAAGACUCGAAAUUGGAAACCAAGGAAUGAAUUUAAAUUUUCCGCUCAAUGAGAUUUUCGCUCCCGCCUAAUCAUGUUUACUCUUUUGUCGUUGUUUGGUUGCUGUUGUCUCUUUUUGAUAUCACAUUUCAUUUCUUUGAAUGAAUUAACUUUUUCUCAGUGAUUACCUUCUUUAUUUCUCUCUCACUCUUGUCAACGGGUGAAUUAAGAUUACCUUAAUAGCAGUGUAAAUUAUGUUAAGCCGUUCUCAUGUUUAAAACAUGUUAAAUCAACAACCCAACUGCUCACAGAAAAUUUGAUUCGAUUGACAAGAGGACUUUGACAAUGAACCAUGCACAGGGUUAGGAUUUCAAAAGGAAAAUUGAGAUGCUGAUUAUACUUUGAGCAAACGGAAACGCCAAUGGUCACCACAUACAAACUAUCCACUUGAAGCCCUUGGGAAACAAACAAGUGCUUAUAGAUUUAUCCUCCAUACUAAUGACUUUAUUAUCUGCAAAUUAACCUCAAAUUUGGUUGUUAAUGUGAUGACAACUGAUUACCUACGUUGACUUUUGUCCAUUUCAAUCUGACUUUUCGUUUUCUAAAUCAUCAUUCAUUUGCAUUUCUUAAGAUAAAAAGAUAGAUCUUUAGAUCAUAUUGCCGUAUUUUUUUAUCUUUUGUGGUAACUAAAUAAAUGUAAAGACAUGAUGAAGAUGAAUCUAAAAAAUGAGCCAUCAUCACUUAAGCAUCUCAUCCAUUAUUUCAACUUCAACAUAGUUUAAAGUUGUAUCAUCAUCAAUCAAUAGUAGAGAUAUUUUUGCUUCCACAUAUCUCUUUAUCAGAACUUUCAAAUACCAAUUGUUUAUAUUAACUCAUGUAAAUUGUUGAUUAAAUAACAGCUGCUUAUGAUGUUCACUGCAA